AUGGUUUUGAAUGAGGUCGGGUUAUUGUUGAAAUGGACUGGUUUUGAAACAUUUGAAGCAGGGUUGGGAUUGUUGCAGCAAGGCUGGUGUUUAGUACUGAUCUUGUUCGACAGUUUGCUGGAACUGUUAGAAGUAGGGCUAUACAAAACGCAGGGCUGCACAAGUUUCAAUGAUAAAUUGAUUUGGAGCAUUACUUUGGAAGCAUGA